AUGCUGUGGUACUGGUGACACACCCAUAGCAUCGGCUCCUACAGAGGAGUAUAUCAGCACCACAAUGGUUGACACUGUUGGAGCUUCUUUCAUGGAAGCUGGACGGCCCGUCGCUGUUGGCGGCAAGUGAAGUCAACGCCAGCUGGUUGAGCCUCGUCCAGUCGGACUCUUUGCUGGCACGCAGGCUUAGGAGACAGAAGAAGAUCGUGCGGGGUCAGCGCGAGGCCCGGGUGUUCGCUGCCGGCUACCUGCCGCUGAGGACGCCGCACUCUAUACCGAAACCGUUCGCAGACCGCAACGGACGCUUCGCCGUCACCAAACCCGACAAUGGUGGUGCGCAGCUGCUAGCUGAGCCUCUAGGGGUCAACAAAGCCGUCAAGAGGAAGAGCACCAGCAGCCUGCAGUCGGCGAAGCAGAGGUUUGCAGCGGAUCGUCGUGUUAUGACACCGAAC